AGGACGAGCAAUAAGGGCGAGCGAGGCAAGGGUAGAAAGCAGCGAGGCAAAGGCAGAGAGCAGCGAACAACGACACCAACAAAGGUAGAGAGAGGGCCAGUGGUAGAAGAGAAGAGAAAAGCCGUAAGAGACAUUGUAAGGUGGAAAUACCUCAAGAGGGAUCUCCAAGCAAACCCAAAAUCCUAACCAACUAUUAUAAUAACUAAGGGUACACAACCCUUCACAAAAUUACAGAUUAAGAUAUACCAAAAUAAUUACAGAUUGUAAAUAAUAUACUCACAAAGACAGAAAUAUUUUGCACAAGACUCAGAGAGCCUGAUCCAAUAAGGCCGUGUUUACUACAUGAGAUUAAGCAGUACACCCGGCUCAAUCCCUUACAUUAGUCUGUUUACCUACGAAAUGUGAGACCCGGUAUUUAAAGUGCAAGCUCGGUAUAAUGAUGGAUGAAACGUGGGAUAUGAUUCCGACCAAAAGAGGUGGGAUAUGAUUCCCGACCAGCUAUCCCAUCUUUUACGCUUAGGUGCUUUGCUUUUAAUACCCUUAAGAUAGCUAUGCCAAAUGACGAAUUUAUCCUUCUACACCUACCGACUUAAAUUUGCUAUCACCUUUUCCAUUUAAAGCAGCGUCUUCUUCACCGGUGCAAAAAGAGGCAGAAACGGAAGGGCUUCGACAGAGCAAGCCUCCUUGUUGUCCUAAGAAUCCUCGCCGCAGCAGCCAUUAACGUUGUUGCCGCCAGUCUGCUUCGCAUUCAGUUGUGUUGUUUCUGGUUAGCUCAGGAAUCCCUCGAGAUCUGUAGCUCGGCUGACUCCGAUUAUAGAGGAAUGCGCGGACCCUUGCUGGAGAUGGUUUAAGGGAUAUCUCGGGGCUUUGGAUGGCACGUUCAGUGAUGUGCGAGUACCCGAACAUGAAAAGAGACUGUACCGAACACGCAUAGGUCAAGUGGCCGCGAGCGUACUUGGGGUGUGCAAUCCAACCAUGCAAUUCAUAAAUGUCCUUACCGGCUGGGAGGGGAACGCAGCGGAUAGCCGUGUUUUACGUGAUGUUGUCCACAGACCAGGUGGUCUAAGAGUUCCUACAAGCAAUUACUACUUAUGUGACUACGAGUAUGCAAAUGCCGAAGGUUUCUUAACUCCGUACAAAGGUGUUCACUACCAUCUAAGAGAAUGGGACACUAGUACCGACAGACCGCAGAACCAUCAGGAGUUUUUCAACCUCAAGCAUUCUUCUGCGCGUAACGUGAUUGUGCGUACGUUUGGUCUACUUAAAAUGUGGUGGGGUAUUUUAAGAAGUCAAUCAUUUUACCCCAUAGGUGCAAAAUCAGAUAAUCUUGGCUUGUUGCUUAUUGCACGGUUUUAAGGACUGAAAUGCCUAAUAAUCUGCUAGAAAAUGAGUUACCUAGUCUUGGAGAUGCUGGAACGGAUGUUGAGGUUGGUUGUGUGUGGAAUAUUGACAGCAGCCCCUCAUGGUCUUUUGAAGGGAUACAAUGGCUACAUCCAUGUACAAUGAGUGGACGAGUUGCCUGUGAUGUCACAUGCGAUUGAACAACCUAUAUUUUGCCCUUGUUGCUUAGUGCAUAACACUACCCGAUCCCGAACACAAGUAGGGCAGGUACCCGACCAACGGGUUUGGGUAAUUUUAUGCAAGUUUAAUUUUUUUUUAAUAUUUUAAUUAUGAAGCAAUGAAAUUUUAUUCAUAAAAUAAAUUUCAACGGCAAAG